UACGUAGGUGGCGAGCGUUGUCCGGAUUUACUGGGCGUAAAGGGUGCGUAGGUGGCGUGGUAAGUCGGGUGUGAAAUUUCGGAGCUUAACUCCGAAACUGCAUUCGAUACUGCGGUGCUUGAGGACUGGAGAGGAGACUGGAAUUCAUGGUGUAGCAGUGAAAUGCGUAGAGAUCAUGAGGAAGACCAGUGGCGAAGGCGGGUCUCUGGACAGUUCCUGACACUGAGACACGAAGGCCAGGGGAGCAAACGGG
rnacentral:rRNA from 1 species